UGGUGAUUCAUAAUAACUUUGCGGAUCGCAUGGCCUUGUGCCGGGACGUUUCAUUCAAAUUUCUGCCCUAUCACUUUCGAUGGUAGGAUAGAGGCUACCAUGGUUGGACGGGGUAACGGGGAAUUAGGGUUCGAUUCCGGAGAGGGAGCCUGAGAAACGGUACCACAUCCAAGGAAGGCAGCAGGCGCGCAAAUUACCCAAUCCCGACACGGGGAGGUAGUGACAAUAAAUAACAAGCCAGGGCCCUAACGGGUUUUGGAAUUGGAAUGAGUUACAAUGUAAACACCUUAACGAGGAACAAUUGGAGGACAAGUCUGGUGCCAGCACCCGCGGUAAUUCCAGCUCCAAUAGCGUAUAUUAAAGUUGUUGCAGUUAAAAAGCUCGUAGUUGAAAUUGGGCGCGGUUGACCGGUCCGCCUCACGGGUGGAACUGGUCUCGGCCGUGCUUUCCUCUUGGGGCC
rnacentral:rRNA from 1 species